AAGUCGUAACAAGGUUUCCGUAGGUGAACCUGCGGAAGGAUCAUUAUCGAGUAUUUUGAAAGAGGUUGUAGCUGGCCUUUCGGGGCAUUGUGCACGCCUUGCUCAAUUCCAACUCUUAACACCUGUGCACUCAUUGUAGGUUGACUUUCGAGAGAGUAUUCUUUACAGGAUAUUCUCAAGUGGUCUUCCUAUGUUUAUAACAAACUCCUUAUUGUAUUUGAAUGUCACUUUGCGCUAUUAAUAACGCAUGAAAUAUAACUUUCAGCAACGGAUCUCUUGGCUCUC
rnacentral:misc_RNA from 1 species